UUACUUUUUUAGUUUGGACUAUGACAGUAUGAAGUGACUGAAGUGCAUCAAAGCUGGCUGAGGAGGUUUGUGACUGCCUGGGAUGAUGACUUUUCUGCCAACAAAAACUCUCUGUACAGAUGAACAUGCUCUGCAAGGCUUCUUGAAGAAGACAGAUCUAAUCCAUGUCCCAAGUGAUGCAACUUCAGAGAAGUAUUUGUAGUGC